rnacentral:rRNA from 1 species
UACGUAGGUGGCAAGCGUUGUCCGGAUUUACUGGGCGUAAAGAGCGCGCAGGCGGUCGAUCAAGUCGCGUGUGAAAGCCCCCGGCUCAACUGGGGAGGGUCACGCGAUACUGAUCGACUCGAAGGCAGGAGAGGGUAGUGGAAUUCCCGGUGUAGUGGUGAAAUGCGUAGAUAUCGGGAGGAACACCAAUGGCGAAGGCAGCUCGCUGGGACGUUACUGACGCUGAGACGCGAAAGCGUGGGGAGCAAACAGG